GACAGAGGGUGCAAACGUUGUUCGGAAUUACUGGGCGUAAAGCGUGUGUAGGCGGCCACGUAAGUCGGAUGUGAAAGCCCCAGGCUCAACCUGGGAAGUGCACUCGAUACUGCGUGGCUUGAGUAUCGGAGAGGUUGGUGGAAUUCUCGGUGUAGAGGUGAAAUUCGUAGAUAUCGUGAGGAAUACCAGAGGCGAAGGCGGCUACCUGGACAAUUGCUGACGCUCAGGCACGAAAGCGUGGGGAGCAAAAGGG
rnacentral:rRNA from 1 species